UACGAAGGGGGCUAGCGUUGCUCGGAAUCACUGGGCGUAAAGGGCGCGUAGGCGGCCAUUCAAGUCAGAGGUGAAAGCCCAAGGCUCAACCUUGGAACUGCCUUUGAUACUGUUUGGCUUGAGACCGGUAGAGGUAAGUGGAACUGCGAGUGUAGAGGUGAAAUUCGUAGAUAUUGGGAAGAACACCGGUGGCGAAGGCGGCUCACUGGCCCGUAACUGACGCUGAGGUGCGAAAGCGUGGGGAGCAAACAGG
rnacentral:rRNA from 1 species